rnacentral:rRNA from 1 species
UACAGAGGGGGCAAGCGUUGUUCGGAAUUCCUGGGCGUAAAGGGCGCGUAGGCGGCCUUCUAAGUCGAACGUGAAAUCCCUGGGCUCAACCCAGGAACUGCGUCCGAUACUGGAAGGCUUGAAUCCGGGAGAGGGAUGCGGAAUUCCAGGUGUAGCGGUGAAAUGCGUAGAUAUCUGGAGGAGCACCGGUGGCGAAGGCGGCAUCCUGGACCGGCAUUGACGCUGAGGCGCGAAAGCCAGGGGAGCAAACGGG